GUGUCAGCAGCCGCGGUAAUACGUAGGGGGCAAGCGUUAUCCGGAUUUACUGGGUGUAAAGGGAGCGCAGGCGGUAUGGCAAGUCAGAUGUGAAAACCCAGGGCUCAACCCUGGGACUGCAUUUGAAACUGCCAUACUGGAGUGCCGGAGAGGUAAGUGGAAUUCCUAGUGUAGCGGUGAAAUGCGUAGAUAUUAGGAGGAACACCAGUGGCGAAGGCGGCUUACUGGACGGUAACUGACGCUGAGGCUCGAAAGCGUGGGGAGCAAACAGGAUUAGAUACCCUGGUAGUCCACGCUGUAAACGAUGAAUACUAGGUGUCGGGGUACAUAAGUACCUCGGUGCCGCAGCUAACGCAAUAAGUAUUCCACCUGGGGAGUACGUUCGCAAGAAUGAA
rnacentral:rRNA from 1 species